rnacentral:misc_RNA from 1 species
CCCUUAUUGAGCAACCCCCAGUAAGAAGAAGAGAGAAAUUCGCCAUUUUCACAAAAUUGGAAAUGGCAAGAAUGAUUCAGCCAUAACACUAAACCCAUUCUUAAAUCAUCAAUACCCUAUAUCUGUAAUUAAAUUAACACUCAAAACUUUGCAAGAAUUGCGCAUAAACCCACCGAGAAUGCGAGUGACCGAAUCAGGCAGAGAAUGCUAGUGAGAGAAUAACAGAUAGAAGUGGCAGUGCGAGAGAGAAAGUGAGAGCGUGUGAGAGAGAACGAGAACCAGAGAAUGACAGUGCGAGAAGAGAACGAGAGAGUGGCAGAGGGAGAGAGAAAGUACUAACCAAAGAAAGC